rnacentral:sRNA from 1 species
AAUGAGCAAAGGAUUCUUAGUUAUGUGCAUCAGAGAGAUUCCCAUCUAGACAUUAGUCAUCAUUAUAGAACUUCUGAUGUCCCUGUCUAUUCAUCGUCACUUGCACUAGUCAAAAGACAC